rnacentral:snRNA from 1 species
GUCUCUACUUGGUCUUUUGGCUAAGAUCAAGUUUAGUAUUUUUUCUUAUCAGUUCAAUAUCCAAUACAUCCUCUAUUGGAAGACAAUAUAUUGAAUAGAUUUUUAGAGCAGGAAGAUGGAAUAAUAGAAGCUUUCUCCAUCCCCUCCAUGCACUGACCUGGUAUUACCUCCAAGAAUGGUCCACCCUGA